rnacentral:rRNA from 1 species
GAUGAACGCUGACAGAAUGCUUAACACAUGCAAGUCUUUGGCGAAGCUGUGCUUGCACAGCCUAGCCAAGGCGGACGGGUGAGUAACGCGUCAGGAACUUGCCCUGCAGUCAGGGAUAACAGACGGAAACGACUGAUAAGACCUGGUAAAGUCAGGCGGACUCAUGUCCAGCCUGAUGAAAAGAGAUGCUGCAGGAGAGCCCUGCGUCCUAUUAGCUUGUUGGUGGGGUAACGGCCCACCAAGGCGAUGAUAGGUAGCCGGCCUGAGAGGGUGGACGGCCACAAGGGGACUGAGAGACGGCCCUUACUCCUACGGGAGGCAGCAGUGGGGAAUAUUGGACAAUGGGGGCAACACUGAUCCAGCAAUUCUGUGUGCACGAUGAAGGUUUUCGGAUUGUAAAGUGCUUUCAGCAGGGAAGAAAAAAAUGACGGUACCUGCAGAAGAAGCGACGGCUAAAUACGUG